UGGCGAACGGGUGAGUAACGCGUGAGGAACCUGCCUCAAAGAGGGGGACAACAGUUGGAAACGACUGCUAAUACCGCAUAAGCCCACGGGUCGGCAUCGACCUGAGGGAAAAGGAGCAAUCCGCUUUGAGAUGGCCUCGCGUCCGAUUAGCUAGUUGGUGAGGUAACGGCCCACCAAGGCGACGAUCGGUAGCCGGACUGAGAGGUUGAACGGCCACAUUGGGACUGAGACGCGGCCCAG
rnacentral:rRNA from 1 species